rnacentral:rRNA from 1 species
UAAGGAAUAUUGGUCAAUGGAGGCAACUCUGAACCAGCCAUGCCGCGUGCAGGAAGAAGGCCCUAUGGGUCGUAAACUGCUUUUGAACAAGAGAAAACCCCGGUACGUGUACUGGGUUGAUAGUAUUGUUAGAAUAAGCAUCGGCUAACUUCGUGCCAGCAGCCGCGGUAAGACGAAGGAUGCAAGCGUUAUCCGGAUUCAUUGGGUUUAAAGGGUGCGUAGGCGGACUGAUAAGUCAGUGGUGAAAUCUCUCGGCUUAACCGAGAAACUGCCAUUGAUACUGUUAGUCUAGAGUACAGAUGAUGUGGGCGGAAUAUGACAUGUAGUGGUGAAAUACUUAGAUAUGUCAUAGAACACCGAUUGCGAAGGCAGCUCACAAAACUGUAACUGACGCUGAGGCACGAAAGUGCGGGGAUCAAACAGGAUUAGAUACCCUUGUAGUCCCUGAGCGGGCUGGCAAGGCGCAU